rnacentral:rRNA from 1 species
UACGUAGGGUGCAAGCGUUGUCCGGAAUUAUUGGGCGUAAAGAGCUCGUAGGCGGUUUGUCGCGUCUGCUGUGAAAACCCGAGGCUCAACCUCGGGCCUGCAGUGGGUACGGGCAGACUAGAGUGCGGUAGGGGAGAUUGGAAUUCCUGGUGUGGCGGUGGAAUGCGCAGAUAUCAGGAGGAACACCGAUGGCGAAGGCAGAUCUCUGGGCCGUAACUGACGCUGAGGAGCGAAAGCAUGGGGAGCGAACAGG